rnacentral:rRNA from 1 species
ACGAACGCUGGCGGCAUGCCUAACACAUGCAAGUCGAACGAGACCUUCGGGUCUAGUGACGCACGGGUGCGUAACGCGUGGGAACCUGCCCUUAGGUUCGGAAUAACUCCCCGAAAGGGGUGCUAAUACCGGAUAAUGUCUUCGGACCAAAGAUUUAUCGCCUUUGGAUGGGCCCGCGUUGGAUUAGCUAGUUGGUAGGGUAAAAGCCUACCAAGGCGACGAUCCAUAGCUGGUCUGAGAGGAUGAUCAGCCACACUGGGACUGAGACACGGCCCAGACUCCUACGGGAGGCAGCAGUGGGGAAUAUUGGACAAUGGGCGAAAGCCUGAUCCAGCAAUGCCGCGUGAGUGAUGAAGGCCUUAGGGUUGUAAAGCUCUUUUACCCGGGAUGAUAAUGACAGUACCGGGUGAAUAAGCUCCGGCUAACUCCGUG